AAUUGGUUGCGAUGCAGUUCUAUAUGUUGAAUCCCUUGUUGAAUCCAUCAUGGGAGGACUGGAAGGUUUAAUUAAUAUUCUUGACUCGGAAGGAGGGUUUGGCUCUCUGGAAACGCAGCUUCUCCCUGAGCAAGCAGCAAAUCUCAUGAAUUUGACAUCCAGAAUCUCUGUUCCUUCAGCAAAAUCCCCAAAAGUGGCAUACAGUUUUCAGUUACCAGGCUAUGAGAGCUAUCCUGAAAAUGAUAAUUCUAUCAAAUGUUAGAAGCUGCAAUGCAGAGGUUGACAAAUCUUUGCUCAAUCAUGAACGACAUGGAACCUAUCUGUGUUCUUAACCAUGUCUUCGUACUGAGGGAGGUAAAUGA